UGCGCUACCUGGUUGAUCCUGCCAGUAGUCGUAUGCUUCUUUCAAGGGCUAAGCCAUGCAAGUCUCAGAGUACGCGGAUUAUACACAGCGGAUCUGCCAACGGCUCAUUAUAUCAGCGAUAGUCUACGUAGUGACGCAUAUGGGGUGCUCGGGUGUUGGCAACAACUCCUCCCGCACGCCCCGCCAGCCGGAUACCCUUCCCAACUGGAUGGCUAAUACGUGUAAGCAUAACCCUUCCUCGCUCAAGGGCACCACCUAGCUUGCUAGGUGGGGUUCUGAGGCGGGGUGCAUUGAGCCGCCACGAAGACUGGCACCUGCGAUGGGUAGAGGUGUUUAUGGGUGAUCCAGGCUCAAGCGGGUGGUGAUAGCGGAGUGGCCUUCUCGUGCUGCCGCGGCACUACACGGACUCCUGACCUAUCAGCUGUCGAUUGUGGCAGCGAGUACUGCGAUGGCGAUCACGGGUAACGGGGAAUUAGGGUUCGAUUCCGGAGAGGGAGCCUGAGAAACGGCUACCACGGCUACGGCCGGCAGCAGGCGCGCAAAUUGCCCAAUACCAACACCUAGGUGAGGCAGCGACGAGCAGUAGCAACUCCGCCCGUCCAUGUGAUGGGCGAGGUUCGCAAUGGAUGUCUAAUGUAAACAAACCAAUGAGUAACAACUGGAGGGCAAGUCUGGUUAAAUGGCAGCCAGAUGUUAGAGCUUGCGAUGCUGAUGCAUAGCGUUGCGGAUCCAAGCUUCUAGCAGUAACCCAGAGCUGAGUACUGGGUGUAUCGAUGUAAAUUGCGGGGAAGUCUUCGUAAGCCUCACCUACCGCGGCUCCUCGAAAGGGGUAGUGCAGCAGCUAGGGUAACGCCUAGUGGAUGGUAAUAACGGUGAAGGAAGUGGCAGUGCCCUCUGCCUAUACUCGGAGAUAAUCUGCAGCCAAACACCCUACCAGCAACGCUGAGCUGCGGGUGGAGGUUCAACGACUGUAAUCAUCGACCCGCAAGGGCAAGGGACAGUCUAAUCCUCUCUGAGAAGGGAUCCCUAGGAGGAAGGCCUACUCAGCUGGAGAACCUAGGGAACGCAAUAGGGUGUUGAGGAAAUGCUUCAUCCUGCGUGGUGCUAAUGGCCAGCAGCCGCGGUAAUUCCAGCUCCAACGGCGUACACUAAUAUUGUUGCUGUUAAAACGCUCGUAGUCCAAUGCAGAGCGCAGGGCCGCAGGGUGGAGCCCUGGUUUACCUUGGCUCGUUCCUUCUGGACCCCUGCGGAUCGACCCUGUGCUCGCCUCACGUGGAAACAACAUCACCGAUCUCAUCGGUGUCCCCUUGCUGACGUGCUCUUCAUUGAGCACCGACGCGGCUUCGCCCGCACCGCAGGCUUGGGAUAUCUGGCUUCGGCCUGUCCCUCCUCCAGGGGUGUCCAUGGCUCUUACCGUGAACAACUCAGAGUGUCCAAAGCGACCGAAGGCCUAGCGCAUUUCGGCUGAAUGAUCUUGCAUGGGAUAAGAAGGGAUCGACUGGUCGGGCUUUCGUCUGCCAAGUCUUUACGCCUGACAUAGGCAACCAGUGUGUUUCUGCAUCCACUGGCCGGGGACUGCUCUGCAGCCUCGAUGGAUGUGGUACGUGCUGAUCGGAACAGGUGGGAUUGUUCAGCGUGCUGUGUAUUGGCUAAGCUAGAGGUGAAAUUCUCAGACCGCGCUGGGACGAGCGGCAGCGAAGGCGCUCCGCCGGGGGCCUUCCGUCGAUCAAGAACGAGAGUGUGGGGAUCGAAGAUGAUCAGAUACCGUCGUAGUCCAUUACCGUAAACCAUGUCGGCUCGGCGUCGAAGGAGGCACGCUUUGCAUGUGCUUAUACUGACCGCUCCGGUUUCAUAUUACCCACCCCAUGCAUCGAGAAAUCCAAGCUUGUGGAUUCAGGGGGGAGUACUGUCGCAAGGCUGAAACUUAAAGGAAUUGACGGAAUGACACCACCAGGCGUGGAGUAUGCGGCUUAAUUUGACUCAACACGGGGAACGUUACCAGGUCAGGACGCUGUAAGGAUUGACAGACUGUAGGCUCUUUCUUGAUUCUUUGGACGGUGGUGCAUGGCCGUUCCUGGUUGGUGGAGUGAUUUGUCUGGUUGAUUCCGAUAACGAGCGAGAUCUCUGCCUCCCAAUAGCCCCAGGUCUCGCACCUAUACGUAGAGCAGAGUGACCUUCGGGUUGCAUUCCAAUCUGCUCGAGAGCGCCUGGUUCUUCUUAGUUGCUUCUCUGAGGAGCUGCGUACGCCUCAAAGUAUGCGCAUGCUAGAGCCAACAGCAGGUCUGUGAUGCUCCUAAAUGUUCUGGGCUGCACGCGCACUACACUGAUGCAGUGAACGAGCUUAUCGCCCUUCUUCGGAAGGGCGCCCUGCCCAGAAGUGGGUGGGAAACCUUAUCAAACUGCAUCGUGACGGGGAUAGAUGAUUGCAACUAUUCGCCUUGAACGAGGAAUGCCUAGUAGGCGCAAGUCAUCAGCUUGCACCGAUUAUGUCCCUGCCAUUUGUACACACCGCCCGUCGUUGCUACCGAUGGUAUCGAGCAAGAAAUGUCGAGAGGCCUACUGCGUUCGCCCUUGCCGGCCUACAACGUAGCCAAACUUCACUGAUUGCUCUAUACUAGAGGAAGCAAAAGUCGUAACAAGGUUGCUGUAGGUGAACCUGCAGAAGGAUC
rnacentral:rRNA from 1 species